rnacentral:misc_RNA from 1 species
GAGGGAAAAUGCUAGAGCAGAACAGACAAUUCCCGCAUAAAGAGCAGCAACAAGCCUGUCUGGAGAGUGCAAUGACCAUUGGGAUAAUUUGUGAUUAGCACCAAGGCCAAUGACCACGCACUCAACGCUACCCAUGAAGCACAUCAACAAGGUGCUGGUGUAUGGAGCUGGAAACUUGUCGCUUACCUUCACCUGGACAGUAAACCAGAUUGCCCAACAAACAGCACUUGCCAUUAUAAACAGAGGGCCUAAAAUGAAGUUUGAUUUUGAAGCAGAAUUGCUGCUUCCCAUU